AGACGUUGCAACGUCUCAAAAUAGCCCUUUAGGUUGCAAGCGUGGGACGGUAGCAAGCCGCCCCGGUAGGG
rnacentral:ribozyme from 1 species